GUAGGUGAACCUGCGGAAGGAUCAUUAACACGUAUCCAACGUAAAAAACCCCCCUGUGAACAUUCAGACCUGCUCUCGUAGCCCAGUGCGAUCCAGCAAUCCCGGUAAAUCAUUGUCGAACAGUAUUGAUUCGGGACUUCUGACAAAUGAGAAGUUACAGUUACGGAGGCAUGGCAUCCCGAAGCAGUCGCUUAGGGUCGCUCACCGACCAGCAGACAUGCGACCGGGUCCCGACUCCCCUUUACAACCCCAUUACCUCUGUGACUCCACGGGAAACCAGUGGGGAAAAAAAACUCGAACAACUGGUAACAAUGGAUGUCUUGGUUCUC
rnacentral:misc_RNA from 1 species